GAUGAACGCUGGCGGCGUGCCUAAUACAUGCAAGUCGAGCGAACAGAUAAGGAGCUUGCUCCUUUGACGUUAGCGGCGGACGGGUGAGUAACACGUGGAUAACCUACCUAUAAGACUGGGAUAACUUCGGGAAACCGGAGCUAAUACCGGAUAACAUAUUGAACCGCAUGGUUCAAUAGUGAAAGGCGGCUUUGCUGUGACUUAUAGAUGGAUCCGCGCCGUAUUAGCUAGUUGGUAAGGUAACGGCUUACCAAGGCAACGAUACGUAGCCGACCUGAGAGGGUGAUCGGCCACACUGGAACUGAGACACGGUCCAGACUCCUACGGGAGGCAGCAGUAGGGAAUCUUCCGCAAUGGGCGAAAGCCUGACGGAGCAACGCCGCGUGAGUGAUGAAGGUCUUCGGAUCGUAAAACUCUGUUAUCAGGGAAGAACAAAAGUGUAAGUAACUGUGCACAUCUUGACGGUACCUGAUCAGAAAGCCACGGCUAACUACGUG
rnacentral:rRNA from 1 species